rnacentral:rRNA from 1 species
UACGAAGGGGGCUAGCGUUGCUCGGAAUCACUGGGCGUAAAGGGUGCGUAGGCGGGUCUUUAAGUCAGAGGUGAAAUCCCGGAGCUCAACUUCGGAACUGCCUUUGAUACUGGCAAUCUAGAGUCCGGAAGAGGUUAGUGGAAUUCCCAGUGUAGAGGUGAAAUUCGUAGAUAUUGGGAAGAACACCAGUGGCGAAGGCGGCUAACUGGUCCGGUACUGACGCUGAGGUGCGAAAGCGUGGGGAGCAAAACAGGAUUG